AUGGAAGGAGUUCACCACAUCGGACUUGGCAAGAAAGUCAAUUAUCCAUUUCGUUCAGCAUGGUGGCCAAGAUGCGGCAACCCCAUGCUCUGUUCCGAUGGGACUCCUCUGCCCGCUGGUUGCCGCUGGUUGAGUUUGGUACGGUUUCCUGUUGUUGCUUGUGUCGAGCCAUGGGUCCGUCUCUCCUUCGCACUGAGCCUACUUCUCCUGUCGCUGGCGCUUCUUCUUCUCAUCCGUCCUGCUGCUUACCAAAGUGCUUCUGCUUGCUGCCUCGGGUUGUACGAUCUCUUCUGUCACUAUCAUUCGACUCAUCAAGUUGUUAUACCUGUUUUGGAGGCUAUGGGUAGCUCGAUGCGCUUUGCCGUCCCUUUCAUAUCUGUGUGUAGUCGCAGAGGAUGGCUCUGUUCUUGCUGGUGUAGAACUCGAGCUCCCAGUGGGACAGAUCUGGUCCUAUGGAGAAGCUUGAUGAACAAGCCGAGGUGCAGCUACUUUCGACCCCUCAUGCUAUAUACCCAUAUAUACACAUGUCUCCCACUUGAUUGGUUUUGUCUCACACACAAGGCGAGCUCUGGUGGUAAAGCUGAAACUUCAUCACCUACUGUUGAAGAAAAGGAUGAUAACAAUGACCAGGCUCAAGUGAUCAGAAACAAAAGAAUGAAGUGGCAAGCAUAG
rnacentral:rRNA from 1 species